rnacentral:rRNA from 1 species
GCUCGUAGUUGGACCUUGGGCGUGGGGGCCGGGUUGGCCGCAAGGCACGACUCGGAACUCUUGCCUCUUUGGGGGACUCGUCGUUCUGCGGCGAGGUAACCCGGGUUACUGUGAAGAAAUUAGAGUGUUUAAAGCAGGCGUUUGCUUGAAUACAUCAGCAUGGAAUAACAAGAUAGGACUUUGUUCUACUUGUUGGUUUGGGAACUAUAGUAAUGAUUAAUAGGGCCAGUUGGGGGCAUUAGUAUUCAGUAGUCAGAGGUGAAAUUCUUGGAUUUACUGAAGACUAACUAGUGCGAAAGCAUUUGCCAAGGAUGUUUUCAUUAAUCAAGAACGAAAGUUAGGGGAUCGAAGACGAUCAGAUACCGUCGUAGUCUUAACUAUAAACGAUGCCGACUCGGGAUCGGCAGAAGUCGUUUGCGACUCUGUCGGCACCGUGUGAGAAAUCAAAGUUUUUGGGUUCUGGGGGGAGUAUGGUCGCAAGGCUGAAACUUAAAGGAAUUGACGGAAGGGCACCACCAGGAGUGGAGCCUGCGGCUUAAUUUGACUCAACACGGGAAAACUCACCAGGUCCGGACAUAGUAAGGAUUGACAGAUUGAGAGCUCUUUCUUGAUUCUGUGGGUGGUGGUGCAUGGCCGUUCUUAGUUGGUGGAGUGAUUUGUCUGGUUAAUUCCGAUAACGAACGAGACCUUAACCUGCUAACUAGUUGGCGGUAUGAGAAUACUGUCCGCUUCUUAGAGGGACUGACUAUGUUUAAUAGUCGGAAGUUUGAGGCAAUAACAGGUCUGUGAUGCCCUUAGAUGUUCUGGGCUGCACGCGCGCUACACUGACAGAGCCAGCGA